ensembl:lncRNA
AGUGGGAGCAGAUGUGCGGAGCCGAUCAGUCACUCCCCCCCGCACUACUUAAUCGGGCUCCACUCUUCUGUCGACGCCGGAUCGUAAAAGCUGCUCGUCAGUACUGACUCAGUUCUUCAUUUUACCGUUACCUUAGUACGCCAAGUAAUUUGCUCUGCCCCUAGUCAGGACUGCCUUCCGGUAGAGAUCACCCGACCCCCCUGGAUGUGGACUCACCCGGUUCAUCUUCUACCUUCACCUCAGCCAUCCUUCGCCCAGCUCCGGCUUAACCCUCACCAGUCGUCUCCGCAGCCGAGGCGAUUCCACAAGCAUCUACUCUGCGCGGUACGGUUCGCCACUAUUGUAUCUGACUCGGCUCGUCUCGGUUUAGUUGUUUUUCCAUAUAGCCUCAUCGUGGGUGGAGUCGUCAUAGCGCAGCGAGCCGAAAGUCGUUAACGUCAUUUGCGUGCGACACAAACGCAACAUAACGGAGACGAUGGUUCACCUGCUGCUCGGUCUGUGGCUUUCUGUCAGAUUCAAAGUAAUAGAAGAGUCGGAGAAAGCUGAGAGUGGCGAGUCGGAACACUCAGGAGACACACAGGAGAGUUUGGGAGGCGAUACAGCAGUAUCAAGUCGAAGACAAGAGGAUAUGAACGAGACGACAUAUGAGGCAGGUUGUUGUGUUUGUCUGCUAUGCAUCAGUGUGAGGACAGAGAGGAGGGAAGAUCUCUGUGUGGGGAACAGGAGAACCAGAGCAAAGCUCAGAG